AACAUAUUAUCAGGACAUUUUUUGAGCAUCUCCUUAAACCUUUCCCAAGUUCCAUAUAAGGACUCUCCUUCUUGUUGUUUAAAGGUUUAGACAUCGGUUCUGAGCUU